GCCACACUGGGACUGAGACACGGCCCAGACUCCUACGGGAGGCAGCAGUGGGGAAUAUUGCACAAUGGGCGCAAGCCUGAUGCAGCAACGCCGCGUGAGGGAUGACGGCCUUCGGGUUGUAAACCUCUUUUAGCAGGGAAGAAGCGAAAGUGACGGUACCUGCAGAAAAAGCGCCGGCUAACUACGUGCCAGCAGCCGCGGUAAUACGUAGGGCGCAAGCGUUAUCCGGAAUUAUUGGGCGUAAAGAGCUCGUAGGCGGUUUGUCGCGUCUGCUGUGAAAUCCGGAGGCUCAACCUCCGGCCUGCAGUGGGUACGGGCAGACUAGAGUGCGGUAGGGGAGAUUGGAAUUCCUGGUGUAGCGGUGGAAUGCGCAGAUAUCAGGAGGAACACCGAUGGCGAAGGCAGAUCUCUGGGCCGUAACUGACGCUGAGGAGCGAAAGGGUGGGGAGCAAACAGGCUUAGAUAGCCCUGGUAGUCC
rnacentral:rRNA from 2 species